AGGGACGCAUGAUGAGUCUGAAGAUGGUUAAGACCAAACUAAUACACGUACUUAUCUCUCUGGCACAGAAGGAGCUGAGGUUCAUUCUGUUCAUCUCUGGAGUGCAUCUUCCAGUUUGACUUCCUCUGUAUUUGUGGUAGAUGCGUGUCAUGCA